UUGCACGGUGACUUCAACAUUUCUUCAUGUUAAACACCAAGAACAUUAUUUAGGUGACACUAUGAAGAUGAAUGCUUCUCCAAGCUUAGUGACCGUGGUACUCCUAAUGCUUGGGGUGAGAGGGUUCCAGGUGGAGCAGAGUCCUUCAGUCCUGAGACUCCAAGAAGGAACUGAUUCUACUCUGAGGUGUAAUUUUUCUGCCACUAUAAGGAAUAUGCAGUGGUUCCGACAGAUUCCUGGGAGCAGCCUCAUCAGUCUAUUUUUCAUGACUUCAGGGAUAAAGCAGAAUGGAAGGUUAGAGGCAACAGUUAACUCUAAGGACCGCUAUAGCACCCUUCACAUCACGGCCUCCCAUCUGGAAGACUCAGGCACCUACCUGUGUGCAGCAGAGGCACAGUGCCCCCAGGUCACCUGCAGGCUGAGCUCAAACUGCAGCUGGGCCCCUGCCACGGGGAAGACUGUGCAGCAGCAUUUGUUCAGCUUUGAGCUUUCAGACUCUACUAAACCUAUCAACCUUACUGGUAAUACAGGAGGAAUGAAAACCCAAAGAGAAAUCCAUUCCAAGGAUUCAGUCUCUGCUUCUGGUUUGGAUUUGGACAGGGAUAAUCCCUGA